CCCCCACAUUGGUACUGAGACACGGACCAAACUCCUACGGGAGGCAGCAGUGAGGAAUAUUGGUCAAUGGCCGAGAGGCUGAACCAGCCAAGUCGCGUGAAGGAAGAAGGAUCUAUGGUUUGUAAACUUCUUUUAUAGGGGAAUAAAGUGGAGGACGUGUCCUUUUUUGUAUGUACCCUAUGAAUAAGCAUCGGCUAACUCCGUGCCAGCAGCCGCGGUAAUACGGAGGAUGCGAGCGUUAUCCGGAUUUAUUGGGUUUAAAGGGUGCGUAGGUGGUGAUUUAAGUCAGCGGUGAAAGUUUGUGGCUCAACCAUAAAAUUGCCGUUGAAACUGGGUUACUUGAGUGUGUUUGAGGUAGGCGGAAUGCGUGGUGUAGCGGUGAAAUGCAUAGAUAUCACGCAGAACUCCGAUUGCGAAGGCAGCUUACUAAACCAUAACUGACACUGAAGCACGAAAGCGUGGGGAUCAAACAGGAUUAGAUACCCUGGUAGUCCACGCAGUAAACGAUGAUUACUAGGAGUUUGCGAUACAAUGUAAGCUCUACAGCGAAAGCGUUAAGUAAUCCACCUGGGGAGUACGCCGGCAACGGUGAAACUCAAAGGAAUUGACGGGGGCCCGCACAAGCGGAGGAACAUGUGGUUUAAUUCGAUGAUACGCGAGGAACCUUACCCGGGCUUAAAUUGCAACUGACGGAACCGGAAACGGUUCUUUCUUCGGACAGUUGUGAAGGUGCUGCAUGGUUGUCGUCAGCUCGUGCCGUGAGGUGUCGGCUUAAGUGCCAUAACGAGCGCAACCCUUAUCACUAGUUACUAACAGGUGAAGCUGAGGACUCUGGUGAGACUGCCAGCGUAAGCUGUGAGGAAGGUGGGGAUGACGUCAAAUCAGCACGGCCCUUACAUCCGGGGCGACACACGUGUUACAAUGGCAUGGACAAAGGGCAGCUACCUGGUGACAGGAUGCUAAUCUCCAAACCAUGUCUCAGUUCGGAUCGGAGUCUGCAACUCGACUCCGUGAAGCUGGAUUCGCUAGUAAUCGCGCAUCAGCCAUGGCGCGGUGAAUACGUUCCCGGGCCUUGUACACACCGCCCGUCAAGCCAUGGGAGCCGGGGGUACCUGAAGUGCGUAACCGCGAGGAUCGCCCUAGGGUAAAACUGGUGACUGGGGCUAAGUCGUAACAAGGUAGCCGUACCGGAAGGUGCGGCUG
rnacentral:rRNA from 1 species